rnacentral:rRNA from 1 species
AAUUCGAAGCAACGCGAAGAACCUUACCAGGUCUUGACAUCCUCUGACAACCCUAGAGAUAGGGCUUUUGCCUUCGGGGACAGAGUGACAGAUGGUGCAUGGUUGUCGUCAGCUCGUGUCGUGAGAUGUUGGGCUAAGUCCCGCAACGAGCGCAACCCUUGAUCUUAGUUGCCAGCAUUCAGUUGGGCACUCUAAGGUGACUGCCGGUGACAAACCGGAGGAAGGUGGGGAUGACGUCAAAUCAUCAUGCCCCUUAUGACCUGGGCUACACACGUGCUACAAUGGACAGAACAAAGGGCUGCAAGACCGCAAGGUUUAGCCAAUCCCAUAAAUCUGUUCUCAGUUCGGAUCGCAGUCUGCAACUCGACUGCGUGAAGCUGGAAUCGCUAGUAAUCGCGGAUCAGCAUGCCGCGGUGAAUACGUUCCCGGGCCUUGUACACACCGCCCGUCACACCACGAGAG